UACGUAGGGUCCGAGCGUUGUCCGGAUUUAUUGGGCGUAAAGGGCUCGUAGGUGGCCAACUAAGUCAGACGUGAAAUCCCUCAGCUUAACUGGGGAACUGCGUCUGAUACUGGAUGGCUUGAGUUCGGGAGAGGGAUGCGGAAUUCCAGGUGUAGCGGUGAAAUGCGUAGAUAUCUGGAGGAACACCGGUGGCGAAGGCGGCAUCCUGGACCGACACUGACACUGAGGAGCGAAAGCCAGGGGAGCAAACGGG
rnacentral:rRNA from 1 species